UUUGGCCUUUAUCCUAAAAAAAAUUAUCCUAAACGUGCUGCAUCGGGCCGCCGUCCCUUGUUCAUUCGCCGAGCCCGCGUCCCUUGCGACUUUCUCCGCUCGUCGGGGACGCGACGCACACUGCAUCUUCGCCAUCCUUCUCACGUCAGGGACACACACGGUGUCGUCACCAUCCUCCUCGCGUCGGGGAAGGUGCCGCCGCCGCCGCUCCUCCGCGCGACCUGAGAUGCUAAGGCUGCCGUUCUCCUCCGCACAGCCAGGGACGACGCAAGCACCGACGCCCCCAUCCCCAACUGCAUCAGUUCAGAGGUACGCCCCUUUCCUCACUCGUUCUUGUUUGUUCCUUGCCGACGGCGCCCACCGGCGCACAGCAGCCGAUUGGUCGCAACCCACAGAUCCACGCAGCUGCCUGCCAGUGACUCAGCCCAGGAGGAAAGCAGCAACUCCUCUCGACCUCUCCAAAAUCCCGAGUCCCUGCCAGUAUUUGAUUUGCCAGUUGCUCUCCUGAUUUGCAAGUGUUCAUAUGUCUUGAUAAAAUUGCCCUUUUUCAUGGAGAAUAUUUGCAACUGAUGUGAGUACUGCUUUUUUGCAUGAGAGAUUUGUAGGUGUAGUGAUGUAAGUACUGCCUGUAUAAGGGGAAAAUAACCUGCAAGACGAUGCAGGUAAUUUCCUUUGAUUCUUUCAUAUAUCCCUAAAUUUCACUUACAAGUUACAACAUUGUCUAUUCAUCUAAAUACUGAUUUCUACAGCUUAAAUUGUAUCCAGUAAAGAAUUCUGGUUAGCACUGGUUAGCAUGACAUCAAUCUGAGUAAACUGUAUCGAGUGAAGCAUUGUUAACAUGAGAACAAUCUGACUGCGUCAAAUUUCCAAUUUAUAUCCAUAGUGCCUCAAAAGAAAUUGUAUCUAGUGAGAAUUUGUUGUUAGGAUGAGUGCAUAACAGCUUUCCUUCAGCCUAGCCUGCCCUGCUAUUUGUUUGUAGGUCCGUCACAGAAACACCCAAAAGUAUUUAAAACUAUAGUAUUUUUUAGAAACCGCAGUAUAUUCCAACUACUAAGAAAAUACAUAGCUGCCAAACGGGCCCUUAGAUUUCCUAUUUCACGUGCAUCACUAAAGGUUACCGUUGACACAUAAGUUUCUCAGCGAAAUAGAUGCAGGAUUCUUCUACUCAAACAUUAAGCGAGAAAAGAUGGUUUCUGCCGAAGGACGCCAAGUUGACGAACAUGUCAAGAAGAUCAUUGAAUUGAAAUAUAAGGAAGUUACAGUAAUUUUGUGGUGAUCAACCAGAAAAGCAUUGGUCUUCGUUAUCCAUCGAUCUCCUAGCUAGAGUAGUGGUAACUAAUUCUGACUUGUUACUACAUGAUGGUUCUAAUUCACUUACAUCUAACCUUGUGAUCUUUUGGGGUUCCAGUUCAGUUCAGAAUGUGGGUCAUGAUGUAACCAGCUGAACUUGGAACACGAAAGUUGUUUGAUAUUAUACAUAAUACUACUCAAGACAAAACCCAUGUAGAAACUAGACUUCCUAUGGUGGCUCAGUCUGGCAGGCUCAUCUUUCCCAGCUGCCAAUGAAUUAUUAUUUUAUCUCCUUUCGUGUAUAUAAUUAGGCUGCACUCUUGCCUAUACUAAUUAGAUCCUGCACCCCUGAAGGUCAAGUCAGGGGCUCAGGGUUGGCGUGGAUUAGAUAAUUCGUAGUUCUCCUGCUCUCCCCCCUUUCUGUUUCUUAUUCAUUAUGCAUGUAUUCUUUCUAUGCAUGAGUUGAUAACUCCAACUGUCCCAAGUCUGAUGAUGUUCUUUUUCUCGUGUUGUUGCUUCUGCAGGUUCUGCAAAUUUCAUUCACAGAUCAGGAAAUUCUAAUCUGUGACUCGGUAAUCUCUUGUGUGAUGUAGAUUAUGUACAGAUUUUUGAGUUUUUGGCACUGAGAUUUCUCCUAAUACAUGCAUGACUAAUAAAUAAUCUGAAGCAGGAGUAGUACGGGAGUAAUGUGACGCAAAGCGAAUUAAUGCCGAGACCUCUCGAAAAUGGAAAUAUUCAAUUCAGUAUAUUUGGUAUUAUUAGUUACCUACUUGUCAUUUAGUUGGUUGGUGAAUUCAUUUCAUUGUUUGUAUAAUAUAUAUUUUGGAUUGUUUUAGUAGUAUAUGCAAGUUGAUGGUUGUUCACAAUGAACAACCACAUCUCAAAGGUACUCGCUGUAUUAGUAUCUUUUAGUAGUAUAUGAUGUUUGUAUGGACAUUCCGAAUAUGUGCUAGGCAAUUAAGAUAAAUAGAAUGUCCUCAGUUUACAAAGAAUGGGUGAAGAGUGAAGAUUCAAAGCCUAUGUGUUUGUACUCCAUAGCAUGGUGAUGACCCUUUUGCUAGUGUGUAUUGUUGUUAUUUUUUAACAGAGUAAUGCUACUGACAUUGCAAGUAUAUGCAGUUUCCACAUCUGAAUUUUGGCCUUUUUUUAAGAGCAAAUAGACUGGAACACUAAUAACAUAUAAUGAUAGUUCAUAUAGUUUUGAGUUGAUGCAAGAUGCAAAAAUAAUUAGUACACGGAUAUAGAUUGCAUAAUCUGAGAUGUUAUUUCAUAAAUUCAUGUUCAUUUUUUUGUAUUCACAUUAUUAAUUAUCCCCUUAUCUAUAUAAUAAAUCUAGGUCUUGAUAAAUCACAUUUUUAAGGUGCUCCUUUAAAUUGUACUUCUCUAUUAACCUGAUUUCUAUAAUGUAAGUUGCUCAUCUAAUAGUAUUAUUGUUGUUGUUGUUGUUGUAGAUCACGAAGAUAAAUUGAUAAUGCAUGGCUCGCAUGUUGAUUGCAAGGUUAAGAAUGGGGCUACUACAAGAUACUUAGAAUUUCAUUUUUAGGAUCAAUGUUUCAGACAUCAUAGUUGAUUGCAAGGUCAAGAAUUCGGCUACAGAUAGAUAGUUUCACCUCUUGUAAUCCUUGGAUCACGUCCUUUGUAAUGCAACAUAGUCAAUUUAAUAUAUGAGAAGUUUCUGUUUGGCCUCCAAC